AUGGUGGGCUUCCUCCGGGCCUUCACCGCCGCAUCCGCCGUGCCAGCAGCAGCCGUCGCCGCGGUCGCCCUCUCCUCCUCCUCCCCCUCUCGCUCCCCCUCUUCCAGGCUCCGCUUCCCCCUGCCUCCCUCCCUCUCCGCGUUCGCCGCCUCCUCGGCCUCCUCUUCCCCCGUGCGCGCGCCGACCGCCGCCCCUCCGAUGGCCGCCGCCGCCACUGCCGAUCUCUCUGCUCCCGACAAGGGCACCGCGCUUCCGGAGCUCACGACCGAAUUCAUGGUGGACAUGAAAUGUGAGGGCUGUGUCACAGCAGUGAAAAAUAAGCUUCAAACACUUGAAGGAAUACAGAACAUCGAAGUGGAUUUCAAUAACCAGGUAGUUAGAGUUCGUGGGUCUCUCCCAGUGAAGCUAAUGUUGGAUGCUCUGCGUCAAACAGGACGAGAUGCACGUCUGAUUGGGCAAGGGAACCCAGAUGAUUUCCUAGUUUCUGCUGCCGUGGCUGAGUUCAAAGGGCCAGUUAUAUUUGGUGUUGUUCGUCUAGCCCAAGUUAACAUGGAAUUGGCUAGAGUUGAGGCUACUUUUAGUGGUCUAUCACCUGGUAAACAUGGAUGGUCAAUAAAUGAAUUUGGGGAUUUGACAAAAGGUGCAGAAAGUACUGGCAAAGUAUACAAUCCACAGGAUUAUCUAUCUGAUAAGCUCCUUGGUGACCUGGGAACACUAGAAGCUGGAGAAAGAGAAGCCCAGUUUUCAGGAUCAAAAGAGAAACUGAAAGUUGUCGACUUGAUCGGUCGCUCUAUUGCGCUGUAUGCAACCGAGGACAGAUCAGACGCGGGCCUUGCAGCUGCCGUUGUCGCGAGAAGUGCGGGUGUUGGGGAGAACUACAAGAAACUCUGCACAUGCGACGGUGUCACCAUUUGGGAAUCGAGCUAA
rnacentral:rRNA from 1 species